AUCUUUCUGCGUGGUUUGUUACCAAACACACUAAUAAUUGAGCCAACACUUGAAUUAUCGGGAGGCUAAUGCCGGCGUUCGGUGCAGUCUUUCAAAGUUAAAGAUUUGCCAUAGAAUUCGGCUUUGAUGUGUCGCAAGACACAGAAAGCCACCCACCUAUUAAUAAUAGGUUCAAUUCAACUGUUUGAAACGGCUAAGCGGUUUCCUU
rnacentral:other from 1 species